rnacentral:rRNA from 1 species
UACAGAGGUGGCAAGCGUUGUUCGGAAUUAUUGGGCGUAAAGCGCGCGCAGGCGGUCCUUUAAGUCUGAUGUGAAAGCCCACGGCUCAACCGUGGAGGGUCAUUGGAAACUGGGGGACUUGAGUACAGAAGAGAAGAGUGGAAUUCCACGUGUAGCGGUGAAAUGCGUAGAGAUGUGGAGGAACACCAGUGGCGAAGGCGACUCUUUGGUCUGUAACUGACGCUGAGGCGCGAAAGCGUGGGGAGCAAACAGG